rnacentral:rRNA from 6 species
AAGAUCCCUGAAAGAUGAUCAGGUUGAUAGGUUCGAGGUGGAAGCAUGGUGACAUGUGGAGCUGACGAAUACUAAUAGAUCGAGGACUUAACCAUAUAA